rnacentral:rRNA from 1 species
GAUGAACGCUGGCGGCGUGCCUAAUACAUGCAAGUCGAGCGAACAGACGAGGAGCUUGCUCCUCUGACGUUAGCGGCGGACGGGUGAGUAACACGUGGAUAACCUACCUAUAAGACUGGGAUAACUUCGGGAAACCGGAGCUAAUACCGGAUAAUAUAUUGAACCGCAUGGUUCAAUAGUGAAAGACGGUUUUGCUGUCACUUAUAGAUGGAUCCGCGCCGCAUUAGCUAGUUGGUAAGGUAACGGCUUACCAAGGCAACGAUGCGUAGCCGACCUGAGAGGGUGAUCGGCCACACUGGAACUGAGACACGGUCCAGACUCCUACGGGAGGCAGCAGUAGGGAAUCUUCCGCAAUGGGCGAAAGCCUGACGGAGCAACGCCGCGUGAGUGAUGAAGGUCUUCGGAUCGUAAAACUCUGUUAUUAGGGAAGAACAAAUGUGUAAGUAACUAUGCACGUCUUGACGGUACCGAUCAGAAAGCCACGGCUAACUACGUG